UACGUAGGUGGCAAGCGUUAUCCGGAAUUACUGGGCGUAAAGCGCACGCAGGCGGUCUUGUAAGUUUGGCGUGAAAGCUCUCGGCUUAACUGGGAGAGGUCGCUGAAGACUGCAAGACUUGAGGCAAUGAGAGGGGUGUAGAAUUCCUGGUGUAGUGGUGGAAUGCGUAGAUAUCAGGAGGAAUACCAGUGGCGAAAAGGCGGCACCCUAGCGUUGUACUGACGCUCAUGUGCGAAAGCGUGGGGAGCGAACGGG
rnacentral:rRNA from 1 species